AAUGCAAAGGAACAAAUUACAUACAACAUUGCUAAAGCUCAAAACAUGCUAGACUGGCAAAUGGCUCAACGUGUGAAGACUAACAACCUGGGUUGGAUCCCUAUCCAUGAGACAAGGAUGACCUUGAACCUUGGCCCCUUGGUUCUCCUUCCACCUGUGCCACCAACCUCAGCAGUAUUUUAUCUUUGAAAAGUUUUAAUAUCUAUGCCAGGCAAUAAUGGCACAUGCCUUACAUCCCUGCAUUAGGGGUGCAGAGGCAAUCGGAUCUCUGAAUUUGAGGCCAAUCUAGUCUACAGAACAAGUUCCAGGAUAGCCAGGGCUACACAGAGAAGCCCCGUCUCAAAAAACAAACAAAAAAAUUAAUCCCCUUUAUAUAACAUUUAAGAACAGAAUGUUUCCUCCUUUUUCUUCGAUACACCAAGGAAGGAAACAGACUAUUUUGCUGCUAGAGAACUGGAGCUUGGAAUAGAUAGUCUAUGCCACCUUUAACACGGGCCUUGGAAUAACCCAUUUAACCUGCUGCAGUAGUCCCACAAAAAGUGGGGCUGGAGGCAUUUUGGUUACUGGUGUGUUUCAGAGAAUUCAGUGAUUUUAAGAAACAACAGUCUAGGGCUGGCGAGAUGGCUCAGUGGUUAAGAGCACUGACUGUUCUUCCAGAGGUCCUAUGUUCAAUUCCCAGCAACCACAUGGUGGCUCACAACCAUCUGCAAUGGGGUCUGAUGCGCUCUUCUGGUGUGCUUGAAGAGAGCAAUGGUGUAGUCAUAUACAUUAAAUAAAUAAAUAAAUAAAUAAAGGGAAAAAAAGAAAGAAUUAAAUUCAGAAUUGGGUGUGUUGGCACACACCUUUAAUGCCAAGCAUUCUAGAGGCAGAGGCAGUCUGAUCUCUGUAAAUUCAAAGCCACAGAGCCAAUUCAAGGACAGCCAAGGAGGGACACAGGGACACAGAGACUCACAGACACACCUGUCUAGAAACAAACCCAGUGCAUACUCCUCUUCCAGAGGGUUGGAGUUCAGUUCGCAGCACCUAUAUCAUCACAACCAUCUGUAACUGCCAUGGAAUGGAGGACCUCUGACCUCUGUUGGUGACUGAACCACACAUUAACAUACAUGUAAUUACAAGUGAAAUCCUUGACUGUUUAGUGAGUUGGAGGCCAGCCUAGGCAAUCUGGAACCCUUUCUUAAUAAAACGC
ensembl:lincRNA 6330403N20Rik RIKEN cDNA 6330403N20 gene